rnacentral:rRNA from 1 species
GUCCACGCCCUAAACGAUGAUCACUAGCUAUUGGAAAAACGAUAUUCAGUGGCUUAGCGAAAGCGAUAAGUGAUCCACCUGGGAAGUACAGUCGCAAGAUUGAAACUCAAAGGAAUUGACGGGGGUUCGCACAAGCGGUGGAGCAUGUGGUUUAAUUCGAUGAUACGCGAGGAACCUUACCAAGGCUUAAAUGUAUUACGAAUAAGCUGGAAACAGCUUAGUCUAUACGACGUAUUACAAGGUGCUGCAUGGUUGUCUUCAGUUCGUGCUGUGAAGUGUUUGGUUAAGUCCUAUAACGAGCGCAACCCCUAUUGUUAGUUGCCAUCGGGUAAAGCCGGGGACUCUAACAAAACUGCCGGUGUAAACUGUGAGGAAGGUGGGGAUGAUGUCAAAUCAUCAUGGCCUCUAUGCCUUGGGCUACACACGUGCUACAAUGGCUGGUUACAAAGGGCAGCCACUGGGUGAUCAGGAGCUAAUCUCUAAAACCAGUCUCAGUUCGGAUUGGAGUCUGCAAUUCGACUCUAUGAAGCAGGAAUCGCUAGUAAUCGCGCAUCAGCAAUGGCG